AAAAAAAAAAAAAAAAAAAUCAACUGUGUAAUGCCUGUAAUUUUACAGGAAACAUUGUAAAUGAAAAGACUGAUUAGAAGAGAAAUAUACAAGUAAUUAAAUUUUGAAUAUGAUAAAAUCUUAAAAAAUACACAAACUUAUAGGCAGUAUAUUGCAGCAAAACAAUUCUUGUAAUCACUACACAAACUGACUAUGAUCCAUACCAAACAGAAACAGACACUCAUAUCACCUAGCUACUUGUUAUAUCCAUAAAUUAUCCAUUCAUAUGAUAAUGUGAAAUUGACAGUAUACUAUAUGGCUUCAUCAGUUCUGUUAUUUUCUCUUUGACUUGAACCCUGAUAGAAGCUUUAGCACAUCUUCCAUAGAUGGCCGAUCAGCUGGCCCGCUUCUUGUGCAGAGCAAAGCAACUUCAAGAGCCAUUUUUAUCUCUUCUCGCAUUGACUCAGAGGAACCGGCUUCAUUCUCAUCAUAAAUUUCUCUUAAAAGUAUCUCCUUAGGCUUGCUCUGUAUGCUUCCUCCCGCAUUUGUCAGUCUACCAUUAGUCAAGAUUUCUAUAAUGAUCUCUCCAAAAUUGUAUGUAUCCAUGUAGAGCGCCUCUUUUAUGUUGCUAUUGAAUUUGCCUGUUAGAAAAAUUUAAGACAAAUGUUAAUUACUACUUCUGCUGCUUAAAAUAUAUUAAGGUGAAAAUAGUUAGAAUUAUUUUCAUUUUUUUUAAAUGGUGGCAAGUUUGUUAAUCUUGACUGUGAUUCUAUGUAUAAACUGUAACAUUCUAUGUAUUUAUGUUUGUGUGGAAUAUUGACUGUGAUUCUCUUUGUACUUAGACAAGCAAUGAGUUUCUUUGUUGGACUUUUUGUAGUUUGCCCAGAAGGUUCUGUCCUUGCUACUUCCAUUUGGUUUCCUGACAUUCUUACAACUUUAACUAAACUAGGAACGUUGACGUUUAAAGUAAGAUGAUUCAAAAACAGGAAUUCAUAGCACAAAAAAUCCUGUGCAUGUAUGGCAUGAAACAAUAUAUGCAACAGAGUGGUGGUAGUAAGGAAUACCUGUUUCUCUCAUUGAAAUUGAUCCUGGAGAUGAGGAUUUAGUCAUUUCUGCAAGGCACUUAAUCCCAAAAUCAGCCAAAUGUGGUUCCAUAUUUUCGUCAAAUAAUAUGUUGCUCGACCUCAAAUCUCCAUGGGGCAUUGUUGGAUAGCAGUCAUGGUGAAGAAAGCAAAGUCCCCUUGCAAUGCCAAUCACAAGUUUGUACUUGGCUGCCCAAUCCCUCUUCAUAUUAAUUUUCUCAGCCAAAUUUCCAUUAGGCAAGUUGUCAUACAAAAGAUAAGCUAGUUGUUUGUUGUAGCAAAAUCCCAGUAAUCUGUUCAAAUUUUUGUGCCUUGCAUUUCCCAUUUGUGUUACAAAUUCUGUCACAAUCUUCAUUCUCUUUGCUUUAAAUUCAAUGUUUUUCACUGAAACAGUUAUUCCUGUGGGUAGAACUGCUUUGCAAACUGAAGCUGAUAGAGGCGGCACAGCUUUCUUGGACUCUGUGGAACUAAAGCUCCUCAAAACAUCAUUUGCUGUGAAUUGAGGGAGGCCACUGAAGGAGGCCAUUUUCCAUUGGCCUUUACUUCCUCUUUGAAUAUAGAAGAUCCCCCAAGCUGAUGCUACAAUGAACAUAACCACCCCUGCACACAGCAGAAUAACCCAUGUAAGCUUCCUCGUGCCUUUGCUGCCGAAUAUUGCCAUUGAAGCAUGACAUGGCCGCAGGGGUGCUCCACACAGCUUUUGAUUUCCAGAAAAUGCACUACUGCCCAUUAAUCUAAACACAUUGUUGGAGGGAAUGGAUCCAGAGAUAUUGUUGAAUGACACAUUUAAAAGUGCUAAGCUUGAAGAGUCACCAAAUUUUUCUGGGAUUGGACCACUGAAGUUAUUAUGUGAUAAGUCUAUGAAACUUAAAUCUAGAAGACUUGCAAGCUCAUCAGGAAUAUUUCCUGUAAAUUUAUUAUUAGCUAAAUCCAUCUUCCUAAGAGCCUGACAAUGAGAAAUACUUUCUGGGAUAUUCCCUACUAGGUUGUUCUCGUGCAACUCAAUAACAAUAACAGAUUUGCAAGAGUGGAAAGGAGGAAAGUUGCCUGAGAUAUUACAAGCUGAUGCUGAGAAGUUUAGGAGAAGUGGCAAAGACCAUGUAAGCACUGGGAUGACACCUCCAAGACCUGGAUUGUUGGAGAUAUUGAAGUAUUGAAGCUUUGAAGCUUGAAAGACAUCUGAGGGAAUACCACCGGCAAACUUGUUCCUCGAAAGGUCCACAUAUGUGAUGUCAGGAAGAUGGAUGAAUUUCAGGGGUAUCUCACCUGAGAAGGAAUUUUCUUCAAUUCGAAGACGCACAAGCGAAGAACAAUUGGAAAUGGAAGGUGAAAGACUGCCAGUAAAAUUAUUUGAAAAAAGGAUCAACUUGAACAGUACACCUCCUGCACAAAUAUCUGGUGGAAUGCUGCCCACCAAAUUGUUGGUGGAAACAUCCACCCACUUGAGCUUUGAGUUCCUGCCCAAGUCCUGUGGAAGAGACCCAGAGAACAAAUUAUUCCAUAUUAGUAGGGUGUCCAGUGAUGGAAGCUGUGCAAUGCCUUGUGGGACAGUGCUAUUCAUAUUAUUGUACAUGAGACUUAGCAGCCUAAGAUUCUUUAACUCUGCAAAACUCUCCGGUAUCGGCCCAGAAAGUUGAUUAUCGGAAAGAUCUAAGCUACUAAGCGGCAAAAUUUUGCUAAACUCCCAUGGGACCAACCCGGUGAGGUGGUUUUUGAAAAGGAAUAAUGACUGGAGCUUGGUGAGAUUGGAGAGUUGCUUUGGUAUCGAACCAUAGAGAUUUGCAUCCGCUAUAUCAAGAUAUUGAAGCUUACUCAUGUUACCCAACUGCCAAGGGAUACCUCCAUGAUAGGAAUUGUAGCCAAUUUCCAUGCGGUUCACUGUCUGGAGUCUGCCCAGUUCUGGUGGUAUCUCACCACUGAGGAAAUUACCUGCCAGGUGUAUAACCUCGAGGCUCUUGAAAGAACCGUACUUUGGUGGGAUUGGUCCAUCAAAGAAACUCCCAGCUAGAUUAAGAAUCUUAAGAUAUUCAAGCUGGGAAACUUCUACUGGCAAUGGCCCUGAAAAGCUGUUACUAAAAGCAUCAAGCACAGCAAGGUUUUGAAGACCGGAGAUUCCACCUGGAAAUUGGCCAGAAAAAUUGUUUCUGCUGAAAUCUAAGCUUCUCAGAUUGGUGAGGUCAAAUAUUUCCAAAGGAAGAUGCCCGGAGAAUGAGUUGUGACUGAGGUUGACAUCAACAAGCUCAGUGAAGACACCAAAAUGCUUUCUCGGCAAUGCGCCACCAAGAUUCUUGGCAGAAAGGUCCAGAGCAAUAACAACAGUGGAGUUCUUGUUGCACUUGACACCAGACCAAAAACACGCAUGAAUUUUCUCUGAUGGGUUCCCUCCAAAAGGCAGUAACCAGUCAGCCAAACUAUUACUAUCAUCAAUAAGCUCAGAUUUUAAGCUUAAAAGCGCCUCUGAGUAAGGAUCAGUGGCCAAAACCACUAUAGUAAACAUCAAGGCCAAGAAAACCUUCGGGUACAAGAAAUGGAACAUCUCCAUUGGAACUCGCAGCAGAGGAGGGAAGACAACUAUGGAUACCAGCCCUGGAUUUAAAAGAAAAAGAAUGUCUCAGUGUUUUGCAUUGGAUGUCUCACGUCUGUGAUUUUGUUGGAUGAGAGAUGCAUGGGGACUAGAGAAAGAUUGCAUAAAAGGAGGGGAGGGAGGGAAUGACGCAUGGGGAUUAGUUGAUAUUUGAGAAUAUUAUCGUGUGGAUUUUGGGGCAAGAAGGGACCCUUAGGAUCAUAGUUUACUUGGAUGGUGUUCGCCACUAAAGAGGAUAGCUUUUUCCAACUGGAUGCAUCUCUUCCUCGCUUUUCAAUGGAGAGAAAAGGAAAACAUGUAUAUAUAUAUAUAAGGAUUAAGGAAAGCAUACAAUUAACUACAAGGCAAUUAUCAUGAUAAGUACCUCUAUGAGCUAGUUUUUGGAGUAUGUAAAAGCAUCAAUAAUGUCACAACAGAUAAGUAAUGUAAUUCAUGCAACAUAGGCUGCAAAAACGCAUAUCAAAUUUGCUUGCCUCAAUUAUACUUUCAA
rnacentral:misc_RNA from 1 species